CCAGAGUGACAUCCCCUCACGUCAUUCAUUUUGUUUUUAUAGUGUGGAAAAUCCACCAACAAAUCUUACCGAGAUUGAUGAGAAGGAGACACACAAAUGAAUAGAUUGACUUUAAAAACUUUUUUACACAUUUCCCUUCUGUUUCUCGCAAAAUUAUCGUAUCUUGAGCUCUCCUUUACACUAUUUACGUUUCUUUUACAAUCCUGAAAAAUCAGUAUGACGAGAUAUUCUAAAUAUAUCCAAC
rnacentral:lncRNA from 1 species